AUACGCUUGUGAUCAAGGGCCUGGUCUCCCCUCAAGACACGGUCACAGAUCAGAGGCCACACCAUCCUAGCAGUGGAGCAGGACCAGCUGGGACAGGGUCCUUCUGUGACACCUGCUGCAUCACCAGGCUGGGUGAACGGACACAAUUGCCAGAACUCACAGAAUAGAAGUAUCAGCACCGAAACCUCACAGGAAAAAUGAAGACAUUUUCUUUCUCUUCUGAGUAACUGAAAUAAAAUCUGGCCUCUGUGAAACCCUGGAAAUACCACGACCCUCAACUAGAAACACCAAUACCAGCUCCUCCGCGAGUUUCCAGCUCCACAACCUAAGACAUCAGAGGCAGCAUUGGUUCCUCACGUAGAGUCCAGCUCCGGGACCCUCAUAUUUGAACCGCAGGGCCAUCUCAUCCCUGGAUCUCCAGCUGCACCACACUCAAAUUAGAACAACAUCAGUUCCUCCCCAGGUCUCCACCUGCACAGCCCUCGAAAGGGAAUGUCAGCUCCUCCCCGGGUCUCCAGCUGUAGGGCCCUAAAACUAGAACAUCAGCUUCUCCCCAAGUCUUCAGCUGCGUGACCCUCAAUCUAGAACAUCAGUUCCUCUACAGGUCUGCAGCUGCAAGACCCUCAAUCU